GACGUAGGUGGCGAGCGUUGUUCGGAAUCACUGGGCAUAAAGAGCACGUAGGCGGCUGGGUAAGUCGGAUGUGAAAUACCUCGGCUCAACCGAGGAACUGCGUCCGAUACUGCCCGGCUUGAGGUCCGGAGGGGAGAGUGGAAUUCCCGGUGGAGCGGUGAAAUGCGUAGAGAUCGGGAAGAACGCCGGCGGCGAAAGCGACUCUCUGGUCGGAAUCUGACGCUGAGGUGCGAAAGCUAGGGGAGCAAACGGG
rnacentral:rRNA from 1 species